rnacentral:rRNA from 1 species
AUUUCUAGAGAUAGAAGUUACUUCGGUACAUCGGUGACAGGUGGUGCAUGGUUGUCGUCAGCUCGUGUCGUGAGAUGUUGGGUUAAGUCCCGCAACGAGCGCAACCCCUAUUGUUAGUUGCCAUCAUUCAGCUGGGCACUCUAGCGAGACUGCCGGUAAUAAACCGGAGGAAGGUGGGGAUGACGUCAAAUCAUCAUGCCCCUUAUGACCUGGGCUACACACGUGCUACAAUGGUUGGUACAACGAGUUGCGAGUCGGUGACGGCGAGCUAAUCUCUUAAAGCCAAUCUCAGUUCGGAUUGUAGGCUGCAACUCGCCUACAUGAAGUCGGAAUCGCUAGUAAUCGCGGAUCAGCACGCCGCGGUCGAAUACGUUCCCGGGCCUU